rnacentral:lncRNA from 1 species
UUCUUUUUCAGAAGGAAUAUGUAAUGACAUCCUUCUUUUCUUUUUCUAUUUUUUUAGUUUUUUUCUUCCAACUUUUUGAAUCAAAUAUCACAACUAUAAUUAUUCAACCCCACACAACUUCAAACAAGAAUCUUUCAACCCUAUGAAUGGGUGAUAACAUUGUUUUUCACUUUUAGGCUUAUAAUAAGUUUAAACAAAAAAUGAGAUAAAUAAGCUCAAUGGGUAUUCAAACAAGGGAUGAUAUUAUUCAAGGUUGGCUGUUUGGCUAAGUGGCUAAAAGUAAAACAAAACAAGUUGCAU